CCCUUAGAUGUCCUGGGCUGCACGCGCGCUACACUGGAAGUUACGGAUUGAGAUACUACCUUGUCCGAAAUGGUCCGGGUAAUCACCUAAAAGCUUGUCAUAAUUGGAAUGGAUUAUUGUAACUAGUAAUCCUGAACGAGGAAUUCCUAGUAAGUCUCAGUCAACAGCUGGUACUGAUUACGUCCCUGCCCUUUGUACACACCGCCCGUCGCUACUACUGAUUGGACGUUUAAGCAAGAUUUUUAAACACUGACAGUGUGUAGUUCACGCUAUACUACAGUGAGAAGAAGAAGAUCGAGCUUACUUGUCUAGAGGAAGUAAAAGUCGUAACA
rnacentral:rRNA from 1 species